AUCUUCAGCUUUGAUCUCCUUUAUUAUAUUUUUUUCUUUUCAAAUGACUUUCCCUUUAUUAAGUCCAAAGGAUAUGUUAGAAGUUGUGUUGGUCUCUGCUUUCUGUAACACUUUGUGCAUGCUUUCACUCUUGCUUAUUGCAGAGUCUUUCUGACUGCAUUUUGUGGAUAGCUUCUUGCAUCUUCCAGAUUGUUUUCCUUUUGUAAGUUCCUUUAGGUUUAUGAUUUUUUUACCUGUACUCUGUAGCAUCCAUCCCAAGCUGUAAUCUAAUCUUCUGUGCUAAAGGGCAGCUGACCUUCAUUUUGCCUCUCAGCUCAAGCAGGUUCUAAGAGUGCUUUCUAAAUCCUUUUUCCCCUUCAGUCCUCACACAAUCUAAUGUCCUAUUAGCAAUUAUACAAUCUCUCCCUUCAUGUAACUUUUUUGACUGAAAGUUCUCACAUCUAUCAUAAUGUUGUCAAAAAAUGCCUCCUGUUUCUUCUUUCACUGCACAGCUCAAAUUCCUUACUAAGAUAAUGCACUCUACAUUUCUUUAGUGUGGUCUGAAAUGUGAUUAGUUUCACUGCAUGAAACUGUAGGCUAAAACCCAAACCUAAGCUUUGUGACAGCACUAUCAAAACUGGGUUUUUCCCACCAGGUCUUCCUCCAGUAAUUGCUAUUUCUGUGUAAUCUGAGUUAGUCUGAUUAGCUCCAUGAUGUGUCCCACUCACCAGCUUCUCUCUUCCUUCCCAGAUCAAGUUUUGAAUUUGUUUUCUAUUUUUUCCCCCCACUCAGCUUCUAGUUUUACUUGUUUCUGUUAACAUGCCAUAUGUAGGCAGUUUCCUGAUCUGAAACAUAAUAAUAAGACUCAGAAAUAGUACAAAAACUUCACUGCAUACCAUCUGGGAAGGCCAUCAUUGCUGUGGGCAGCAUGAGGAACAUGGAGUUGGUCGCCAGGUGAUCUACUCCCACAUCUGCUGAGAUUUUGUUGGGGAACCCGGGGAAACUUAGAAGUAUUGACUUCUGCAGCUGAAACACUGAUAACCACCAGUUAACGCUGUUGCUAACCAACCAGGGUUAGGCAUCUGCUCAGUGCAUAUACCAGGGACUGGCACACUCAGAAGGCAGAAAAUGGCAUGCCUGGGUUUAAGCAGAGGCAAAAAAGGAAACCAGAAACCUUUUAGGACUUGUUGUCUUCCCAGAGGAUUUGGAAACCAGACAGUAUUCUGGCUGUGAAAUGAUGACAACAGUCCAGGAAUUCCUGUUGAGUUUGGGUUUCCCUCUCAAGACUUCUGUUAAGCCACCUGCUAGAAGCUGAUAGGUUUUUUUUCUUUUUUCCUUCCUUCUUCUUUCUUCUUCUUUUUCUCCGCAUCCCUUCCCUCUUUGUUCUUUUCUUUUUUCUUUCUCUUUUUUUUUUUCUCCCUUUCAUCUUUUUUUGAGACAAUUCUGCACUUCUGAUGGUUCCUGCUGCUUACUCAUUUGGUGUCAUGGAAACACUGGUACAGCCUCGAUGAUUCCCUGUAGUGGGUUGAGUAUGGGAAGCAGGUAAAAUUCACUGCACCCAGCUCCUAGUCCCAGCCACUAGUGAAGAAGUCCUGCUUGAAAUGCUUGGGAGUCCUGCAGUGCUGGCCAGUCCUUGAAGUGUCAGUGAUACUCUGAGGGGAGCUUCUGAUGCCACCUCUACUGUCACAACCAUAAUUUCUGUAGCGUUCAACCUACUCUGCAGCCUCAGUGAUGUCUGCCGAGGUGGAGGAGCUGUUCCAGGCAGAUCAGCGAGGCGGACCACAGAAAUGAGAGAUAGAUCUUAGAGGCAGAACACUUACUUGUUUAUAAUAUAAUUAAUACAUGUGAUGUGCUGUGCUGCUGACUCUUUAGUGUAGCUUCUGUCCUGAAUUUGUCUCACAUAGCCCCAUGACCAGCAGAAGUGGCUGUCUUCACCAGAGGGAAUGUACAUAUUUAAAACCACUUGCUAGAAAACUACUUGUGUAAAUUGGGGAAGUAAGAUGGUGUUUGUGUCUGACAGAGCAUGAAAUGUGGGAAACAUAUAAAAUUUUCCAUUCUUUUGCUUAACCUUGUGAUUUAAUUUCUGAAGAUACUGGAGAUUCCUACAACUGAAAGAUUAGACAAAGUCAUGGUAUUCAACACCUGCAAAGAAAUGGAAAAGUAUUGGGACGAUAGUUUGAGAUGUAGGUCAUGGUGCAUGUGGCAAGGGAGAAGCUGUGAAAGAGGAAGCACUAAGUAGAAGGCUUGGAUUUCCUGAGGCUGUGUAGGAGGAGAUCUGUGUGAGAGACAUUCUGUGUUUCUCUGUAUCGCCAGGGUGGCUGCUUAACUGUGAGGCUGUUUGCCAAGAAGGAUGCUGCUUGGGUGACUGAUUAUUGUGAUCAAAAAGGAUGAAGUGCUAUUCAAAGAAAAAAACAAAGAAUACCUAAAUCAUGUGUAGGUACUAUUUUAAGUGCCCACAUCCAUUUCUGAGGAAUGGAAUUUGAUAGCUUGAAUCUGUUUGUGUGAAGGGAUCAAAAGAGGAGCCUUCCAUGUGCACAAGAGGACACAUGUCUGCACUGUUCAUGCUGCCAGUUCAAGAGGGAGCAGCACUAGACAAAAUGACCUCAUUCUGUGGAAAUAACAUAGAGAAGGCGGCAUUGCAUGCCUGUGUUGGCAAUUUUUCAUAUGCCCUUCUAUGUAAGAGUGGCUGAUCAGAGACAUGCCAAAGCCUGCUAGCCUGGCUCCUGUUUCCAGCAGUGGCAAGCGCUGGAUCUCUGGAGAAGAAGAGGAGGGCAGCAGAUCAUGAUACAUCCCUCACAGACACGGAUGUGCAGCUCAGGGACUUUCUAAUCCAAGACAACAUACUUGUAUGUAAUGGUCCUCGAUGGAUUUCUCUUCUCCAGUGGGUUUGUUUGGUCUCUUUUGAACUGCUGCAAAAUUCUAGUGCUUGCAUCAAGUGGCAUCAGUGGGAUCUGCAGUAGUGCUAGGCAGCUCUUGUUCCACUUCUGCCUGCCUUCACGUUUCCUUUCAAGACAUGGUCCAGAGAAACCUGAGCAUGCAGAUGACAAGAUGACUCAGUUGUCCAGCCACACACAUUGUGCUAUUUGCUGUCUCUCCCUUCCUUCAUCAUCAGCACCAUAAAGAACAGCUCCACUCUGUGGGCCUCUUGAGGUGAAGGGUGGCAGGACUCGAGGUGUCCUCUCACAUGUGACCUACCCAGACUGGCAAUGGGAAGGCACUGCAAGAGCUGCACUGGGAGGUGGUGGAGGACAUAGAGGAUGGAAAAGGUGAAAAUAGAGAUUACUGAUUUCCACUGCUACCAGGCACUGAUUUGUUUUUCCUUCCACCUCCACAUCUUUCCUCUCAUGUGUCGCAUGCUGGUGCUCACCCAAGGUCAGGAUGGAAAGCUGCUGUUACUGGCUGGCUGAUGCUAACCAGUGGCAGGCAUACAGAGAAGUAGUAAGCACCUCUCCCUGUCUGUGUGCUGGCUGCCGCUUAGGGGCUGCCAUCUCUUUUGCCCUUUGCAAGCAGUGCCUUUCAUGCAUGUCUUGUGUUUUGCCUCAGUGCCUUCCCAUAGUGCACAUGCAUUUUGAUGGAUUUGGCACCUUUUUCAUAAUUUUACUUCUGUCACUCAGGACCCCAUGAGGUCGAGGUCUGAACCCUGUUUAUUUUCAUAGGCAAAGCAGAGCCUUUCAAAAAUUGCUGUAAGAGAAACAGUUUUUAUACUGUGUGUUUAUCUGUGAGGAAAGUGCUCUUUCCUUUUGGAAAUCCUAAAAUCUCACUGCAGAAGAGAGUGCCAGAAAGCUAUCCCACAUGCUGGCAAGGAACAAUAGCAAAACAAGGCCCAUGGUGAUGUUUUCCAACCCUGCACCGAAGGGCUGAGGAGAAGGUGGCAAGCACCACAGAGAUGAAUGAGACACCAGGGAUACAUCACCCCACCAGACAUCAUCUGUGCAUGCUGUGGGAAGAAGGUCUAAGGCAUUUUCCUUAGGAUGGAGGCCAGGGAAGGAAGAAGCAUGCCUGAGGAAGACCACCUGACAUACAUUGGUUGUCUUGGCCUUCUUGGUACUGAUAUGAACAGAAAAUAAGAAAACACUUUUUUGAAGACCAGAUAAGGAAGUGUAGCCACCCCUUCAGCCAUGCCAUCAACUGCAACCAUCUAGCUCUAACCUAGUUCAGUGUCAGGCCAUAGUCUGCUGAGAUCAGAUCUAACACCACAAAAGGAAGAGGUUUCUUUUUCCCCAGCCGCAUACACACUUUCUCCAUUAAGGGAUUUUGCAAAGGCACUGGUGAACAGAGAGUAGCUGUGAGCACUGACAUACCUGCCUUCUCAAGGCAUGCAGGAAACCACCACCCGUUCUUCAGGUGGAAAAAUCUGUCCUGGCAAAUAAGAGAGGGGAAGGCUUGAAACAAGGGAAAAGAGUCUUAGCUCAGCUCUUUUGCCUCUUCUGACUUCAAACACCACAGCCUCAGGUUCAUUCAGGCACACAGAUUUAAUGGGGAGACCAAGGCAUGUUCCACUGUGUGCAGUGUGUCUGUUUCAUCACAUGCUCAGAUACAGGUCAUAUGGCUACACCAUAUUUUUUGUUCCAUUUUCCAUAUUAUUUUGGAUCCGGCUGGGACUUGGAUGAAGACAACCAAUCCGUAAAGAUAAGAAGUGCUUGUGCAUGGGUGUAUAUGCAUAUGCUAAACCUCUGAUAUGUUUUUCUGUAGGCAGAAGAGCACGUGGAAAAGAGAAGCCUGGGGCAGGAGGUGGAUGAAUGACUUCCAUUCCGCAGAAUGAAUCCAUCUCGUGUGCCUGCUAUCUGUGAGCACAGUUUUGACUGGAGAAUUUAUGGAACUCAUGGGACAGUGUUUGGAAAGGUACAAGUGAAUGAGCUGGACCUGCAUCAAAAUGCUUUAGGUGUUUCCAGAGUGCAGGGAAGAGCGCAGCACAAGCUGUGCUUCCUACUGCGUGAGCCUGAUCCGACCUCCUCAGACCUUUUGUAACUCGUAAAGCAACAAAAUGCAGUGGUGAAAGCUGCCAGAUCAGUCCCAUCUGUUGAUGCAUUAAAAUAAACUUGUGUGAAAACACCUGGCAAGAA